UACAAAACCCAAAACCACUCAAAUCCUUUUUCCACAAAACCGGGAGUAGACUCCCAAUAGGCGACCUUCCCAAUACGGUUUCAUUCACUCCAAGUCCCUUCCUCAUUCCCGCGCGUAUCACGAUGCUCCUAUCUUCCAAUGGUGGAUUCGCGAGGCGUAUGCAGCACUGCUAUUUUCGCGCGUGGAGGAAAGGACACCUCCCGCCAACCACUAUGUGGCGACUCGUCAGCAAAGUGGGAUCUUU
rnacentral:lncRNA from 1 species